GAUGAAUGCUGGCGGCGUGCCUAACACAUGCAAGUCGAGCGGCAGCGCGAGUAGUUUACUACUUGGCGGCGAGCGGCGGACGGCUGAGUAACGCGUGGGAACGUGCCCCAAAGUGAGGGAUAACGCACCGAAAGGUGUGCUAAUACCGCAUAUGGUCUUCGGAUUAAAGAAUUUAUUCGCUUUGGGAGCGGCCCGCGUCGGAUUAGGUAGUUGGUAGGGUAAUGGCCUACCAAGCCGACGAUCCGUAGCUGGUCUGAGAGGAUGAUCAGCCAGAGUGGAACUGAGACACGGUCCAGACUCCUACGGGAGGCAGCAGUGAGGAAUCUUCCACAAUGGGCGAAAGCCUGAUGGGGCAACGCCGCGUGCAGGAUGAAGGCCUUCGGGUUGUAAACUGCUUUUAUAAGUGAAGAAUAUGACAGUAACUUAUGAAUAAGCACCGGCUAACCACGUGCCAGCCGCCGCCGUAA
rnacentral:rRNA from 1 species